GCAGUCGAGCGACUUACAAAGCUUGCUUUUGUAAGUUAGCGGCGGACGGGUGAGUAACACGUGGGCAACCUGCCUAUAAGACUGGGAUAACUUCGGGAAACCGGAGCUAAUACCGGAUAAUAUAAGGAACCUCCUGGUUCUUUAUUGAAAGAUGGUUUCGGCUAUCACUUGUAGAUGGGCCCGCGGCGCAUUAGCUAGUUGGUGAGGUAACGGCUCACCAAGGCAACGAUGCGUAGCCGACCUGAGAGGGUGAUCGGCCACACUGGGACUGAGACACGGCCCAGACUCCUACGGGAGGCAGCAGUAGGGAAUCUUCCACAAUGGACGAAAGUCUGAUGGAGCAACGCCGCGUGAGUGAUGAAGGCUUUCGGGUCGUAAAACUCUGUUGUUAGGGAAGAACAAGUGCGAGAGUAACUGCUCGCACCUUGACGGUACCUAACCAGAAAGCCACGGCUAACUACGUGCCAGCAGCCGCGGUAAUACGUAGGUGGCAAGCGUUGUCCGGAAUUAUUGGGCGUAAAGCGCGCGCAGGUGGUUCCUUAAGUCUGAUGUGAAAGCCCACGGCUCAACCGUGGAGGGUCAUUGGAAACUGGGGGACUUGAGUGCAGAAGAGGAAAGUGGAAUUCCAAGUGUAGCGGUGAAAUGCGUAGAGAUUUGGAGGAACACCAGUGGCGAAGGCGACUUUCUGGUCUGUAACUGACACU
rnacentral:rRNA from 1 species